CUGGGUCAAACACUGGACAUGGAAGCAGCAGGCGUGGGAGAAGUCCUCUGCAGUGGGGACAGCUGGUGCAGCAGUGUGCCUGGAAUGAAAUUCAAGUUGGUUGUUAAAGGAGGUCGUUAACUGUGUAAUUUAAGCCUUGGUAUAUCCCGGAAUAGCCUCCCCUCUGAAAGGAAGUCACAGAAAUAGCUUAAAAAAAAAAACCAGAGUUUCCAAAACAAAGCACAGAAAAGCUCAAUGAGAGUUGUUGGGUCUGAGUCAAGCUCCAUGCUGCAGGAGCAGGUGUGUGGCAGGCUUCUGCAGUCCUUAGGCAGUGCUGCGCUGGCCUGCAGGUUGGUUGUCAUUCAGUUCUGGCUGUUGUCUUACAUGAGUGCAGCUGUAUAGCCAUUGAGCAUGACUCCAUGGCCUGAAAUAAUUCCCACAUCCAAACCUCAGGAGCAUUUGGCUGUAAAUGGCUCUGUACACGUGGUUUGCAUAAGUGUCUACAGUGAGCCCCCCUCCCCCCAAACACACUCAACCUGUGCAAGCCAAUGCAGAAGGUAAGAGAGGUAAUGGGAGUGACAGAGGAGACUGUUGCAUUGAGAGAGGGGGAGUUAGGCUUAUCACUCAUUCUGUUUCUUUGUCUACUGCAGCCCGUCAAAGUGAAGGUUGAAUUUUAACCUCAAGUCACAAAUAAAACACUCCUCCCUAGGAGCUGGUGGAUUUUGCAUUCUCUUUCCCAAAGCAGGAGCUCUCACCAGGUGACAAACACUGCAGCCCCUGACAACUUCUUGAAAACAGAUUUUUCUUUUGAAAUGAGUCAGCAUGGAACAGUUUUAUUUGUGGUGGUCCAGUUUUGCUUCCCACAGCAGAUCCAACAGGAUAAGCAUUCCAGCUGCAGCUGCUUGUUCCAGAGGAGCUUGACAGCAUUCUGAACCAGCCUAGGCAGUAGCUAUGCUGCAGCCAGCAGUGGGUAGAAGGGAGUGCUUACACCUAAAAGAGCAAUUUGAAAUCAAUGCUGAUUAAUUACAGGGGUCAUCCAGUUGGAGGAGAAACCUUGCCUGCAAUUCAGAGAAGAAUGGUCUUGAGGUUAAGGAACUUGCUGCGUUCUCAGGAACCUACAGUCCAAAGCUGUCCAUUCAUGUGACGAGGUGGACAAGCAUCAGCUGCUAGAAUUAGCACUAUGGCCCUACUGGUUCUUAGAGUUGAGUCUUCUGGCUGUGUAUGCACGCAGUAUUUUGGCGGUGGUGGCAACGUGAUCUGACUGCGAGGACUCUCAGAGAGCUUGCCAGGACCAAGUUUAAAGUGUUCCUUCUGAUGAGAUUACGGUAGGUUAGUUGAGAUCGCUGAUGGUUCCUUCCGAGGCAUGCAAUUUGAAUGGAAGGGAGAGAGAAAAAAAGGAGGCGACAGAGGAGGCAUUUGGAAAGGAACUGCUAGCUGCAGCUAGCCAACUCCAAAACCACAGGGAAUUAAAUGUGGACAAGGCACAUCUUUUAUCUUUUUGACAUUAAGAAAUUCCAUCUGGAGCUUUCAUUGUAAAGAGAAAGGCUAGAGAGAAGGAGCUGUAGUCAUACCUAGAUAAAUAGCCAACAAAAAAUGCCAACAAACGUUUAAGCAGAGAAUCUUAACAGAUGUGGAAAAGGGGAUUAAACAGUGAAGAAGAUAACAUACUACAGGUUACAAAUUACGAGGGAGGAUUGCCAGAAGCCAAGCUGAGCGAGGCUUGGCAAAAGGAAUUAAAACGAAUAACAGAACCUGCUGGAGCAAAGCGAAUAAAAAGAGGACAAGGAGAGAAAGAGUAAAUAGGGUUGCUAUGGAGUUAGCAGGGGUUCCAGCUGAAAGAUUAUUUGUAUACAGCCUCAGAAUUACAGAGUCUGUGCUACCUUUUUUGUUUAGUUUUUUCCUCCUGAGGAUAAGUCUUCAGAGUAAAGAGAGAGGUGGCAAGAAGGGGAAAGAAGUGGAGAUUAUAAUUUCUAAAGAGGAAGUAUAACCAAAAUAUAUCCAUGUGCUCAAAUCUGUGAUGCAGAUGAUCUCCAUCCCAAAUCUGUGUCAAAAAUCAGUCACUUGACAUUGCAACUCCAUGAGGCAAGAAUUUAAUAAAUUUAAUCAGAGGAUGGUUCUGUAGGCCAGAAACUGGCAAAGUUUGUGUUUGUAUUUAGGAUAAGAGGUACAGCAUGACCUAGGCAGCUGUUGAUCUGUAAUCCUAACAUGAAUAGAUUGGAAGGUUU